GGGGCCAUGGCUCAGUGGUAGAGCCUCUGUUUGGCAUGCAGAAGGUGCCGGGUUCAAUCCUUGGCAUCUCCA
rnacentral:tRNA from 1 species